rnacentral:rRNA from 1 species
UCCGUAGGUGAACCUGCGGAAGGAUCAUUAAAGAUUCUAAGGCUUCGGUCUUAAUUUCGGCUGUGCGCUCAGGCUGCACGCCGUUAACCUCUCACACCUGUGCACCUUUUCGGUUGUGGUUUCGGCCGCUUCCGCUCUUACAUGCAACCACGAAAAGUCUAGAAUGUGACGAGAACUAUAAAGUAACAACUUUCAACAACGGAUCUCUUGGCUCUCGCAUCGAUGAAGAACGCAGCGAAAUGCGAUAAGUAAUGUGAAUUGCAGAAUUCAGUGAAUCAUCGAAUCUUUGAACGCACCUUGCGCUCCUUGGUAUUCCAUGGAGCAUGCCUGUUUGAGUGUCACGUAAACCCUCGCCCCUGCGAUGUAACAGUCGCCUGCGGUGGACUUGGACCGUGCCGGUAAUCGGCUCGUCUUGAAAUGCAUUAGCUGGCGCUUUUAGAGUGCUGGGCGAACGGUGUGAUAAUUAUCUGCGCCGACUGCCCUGGGCCUCUUCAGCGGCGCUGCUUACAGCUGUCCCUCGUGGACAACUAUUUUAAAGCUUUGGCCUCAAAUCAGGUAGGACUACCCGCUGAACUUAAGCAUAUCAAUAAGCGGAGGA